GACAGAGGUGCCAAGCGUUAGGCGGAAUCACUGGGCUUAAAGCGUGUGUAGGCGGAUCGUUAAGUGCCUUGUGAAAUCCCAUGGCUUAACCAUGGAACUGACUCGGCAUACUGGCGGUCUUGAGCCAUCUAGGGGCUACCGGAACAAAGUGGUGGAGCGGUGAAAUGCGUAGAUAUCAUUUGGAACGCCAAUGGUGAAAAACAGGUAGCUGGGGAUGUGCUGACGCUGAGACACGAAAGCCAGGGGAGCGAACGGG
rnacentral:rRNA from 1 species